rnacentral:sRNA from 1 species
AUGAGAACCUCCGGGGGCGGGGAGGUUCGACUCGAGCGAAGCGAGAGAACGUUGCGCCAGCAACGGCCCGCAGGGCGAGCCACGAAGUGGCGAGUAAN